rnacentral:rRNA from 1 species
GUCACGCUGUAAACGAAUGAGAACUAGAUGUUGGGAGGGUUUUGCCUCUCAGUGUCGCAGCUAACGCGCUAAGUUCUCCGCCUGGGGAGUACGGCCGCAAGGUUGAAACUCAAAGGAAUUGACGGGGACCCGGCACAAGCGGUGGAGCAUGUGGUUUAAUUUCGAUGCAACGCGAAGAACCUUACCUGGUCUUGACAUCCCAGGAACCUCGCAGAGAUGUGGGGGUGCCGUUCGGAACCUGGAGACAGGUGCUGCAUGGCUGUCGU